rnacentral:rRNA from 1 species
UUUGUGGGCGAUAGCGAAGAGGUCACACCCGUUCCCAUACCGAACACGGAAGUUAAGCUCUUCAGCGCCGAUGGUAGUCGGGGGUUUCCCCCUGUGAGAGUAGGACGCCGCCAAGC